AUGCCGCCACCACCUCUCCUCUCUCCUCCUCGCAAGUCGAUGCCGCCACCAUUGCUCUUCUCGUGCCGCCGCCUACGCCACUCCCGCACCUCGAUCCAACCGACCCCGCAUCGGCCUCGAGCCAGUGCCAUCGUUGCUGGGAAGCUCGCCUCCGCACACGGGAUGGACGAGAUACGUGGGCGGGGGAGGGGAGGGGAGUGGGGAGAUGGCUGA
rnacentral:rRNA from 1 species